rnacentral:rRNA from 1 species
UACAGAGGGUGCGAGCGUUAAUCGGAAUUACUGGGCGUAAAGCGUGCGUAGACGGUUAUUUAAGUCGGGUGUGAAAGCCCGGGCUCAACCUGGGAAUUGCAUUCGAGACUGAAUAGCUAGGGUACGGUAGAGGGAAGCGGAAUUUCCGGUGUAGCGGUGAAAUGCGUAGAUAUCGGAAGGAACAUCAGUGGCGAAAGCGACUUCCUGGACCAGUACCGACGUUCAGGCACGAAAGCGUGGGGAGCAAA